AUUGAACGCUGGCGGCAGGCUUAACACAUGCAAGUCGAGCGAGCGGCGGACGGGUGAGUAAUGUCUGGGAAACUGCCUGAUGGAGGGGGAUAACUACUGGAAACGGUAGCUAAUACCGCAUACCAUCAGAUGUGCCCAGAUGGGAUUAGCUAGUAGGUGGGGUAAUGGCUCACCUAGGCGACGAUCCCUAGCUGGUCUGAGAGGAUGACCAUCCACAAUGGAACUGAGACACGGUCCAGAGUCCGACUUCGAUCAUCAGGUUAUAAUAUUGCACAAUGGGCGCAAGCCUGAUUCAGCCAUGCCGCGUGUGUGAAGAAGGCCUUCGGGUUGUAAAGCACUUUCAGCGAGGAGGCGUUACUCGCAGAAGAAGCACCGGCUAACUCCGUGCCAGCAGCCGCGGUAAUAG
rnacentral:rRNA from 1 species